rnacentral:rRNA from 1 species
GACGAACGCUGGCGGCGCGCCUAACGCAUGCAAGUCGAACGAGAGAGAAGGAGCUUACUUCUUCGAUCGAGUGGCGAACGGGUGAGUAACGCGUGAGGAACCUGCCUCAAAGAGGGGGACAACAGUUGGACACGACUGCUAAUACCGCAUAAGCCCACAGCUAGGCAUCGAGCAGAGGGAAAAGGAGUGAUCCGCUUUGAGAUGGCCUCGCGUCCGAUUAGCUAGUUGGUGAGGUAACGGCCCACCAAGGCGACGAUCGGUAGCCGGACUGAGAGGUUGAACGGCCACAUUGGGACUGAGACACGGCCCAGACUCCUACGGGAGGCAGCAGUGGGGAAUAUUGCACAAUGGGGGAAACCCUGAUGCAGCGACGCCGCGUGGAGGAAGAAGGUCUUCGGAUUGUAAACUCCUGUUGUUGAGGAAGAUAAUGACGGUACUCAACAAGGAAGUGACGGCUAACUACGUGCCAGCAGCCGCAGUAA